AGGAAAGGAAAUGCUCGAAGUAAACCUGAAAAGAGGAAAGGAAAUGUAUAAAGUAAAUGUGCCAACAAGGAAAUCAGAAUAAAUCUCCCAAAUGGUAUCCCACAAGCAAAGUGGAAUAUCCAGCGAGCUAUCCCUGCAGAAGUCAUGUGAGCCUUCACAAAAACUCAACAAAAGGGUUAGUGAAACAAGAUAAGGAUUAGGAGAAAACAUGCUAUGACAAAC
rnacentral:lncRNA from 1 species